rnacentral:lncRNA from 1 species
AGCUCCAGGAUCUAUUUUUUUCCCCUCCUCCCUUAUUUUAAAUGGGCCAAAGCCCCUUUUGCCUUCAGCCGGUUCUCGGGGCGCAUGGCCUCAGGGCAGCUCCCCAUCCACCACGCCGGGUUCUGUCCCCCCAUGGUGGCAGUGGGGCAGCAAGAUGUGCUGGUCCCAGCCUGCAGCAGCACAGCCCGCCGUGCUGUGGGGCCUCGGGUUCCCUGCCUGCCUUUCAUUAGCAGCAGUUUUGCCGGGGGAAAGGCUGCAGGGCUGCGGCACAGCCUGGCACUGAGCCACGUGCUGUUGGAGCCCGGCCUUCCUCCUCCUCCUCCUUCUCCUCCUCCUCCUCCUCCUCCUCCUCCACCUCCUCCACCUCCUCCUCCAAAUGCUGUGGGGUGACCCGGGGACACAUCCCCAUUCCAGGGGAUGGGACCAUUGGGCACAGCUGCCCCGUGGCACAUGGAGGGUUUUGUUCUUGUGCUUCCAUGGCUCCAGGGGGAGGCAGGUGUGGGGUCUCCCUGGAGCCUUCCCUGUGCUACACACCCUCGGCCUCCCUCACAGCAGAGCUGCUCCCACCUCUGAGCAUCCCCACGUUCCUGUGCCAGGGCCCAGAGCUGAAAGCAGCACUCAGGUGGGGCCCCAUGAGAACUCGCAAUUAAUCCUGAAGCAAUUCCCACAGGUUUGGGUGGGGGCAGAAGGUGGGCACUGGGGGCUGGAGCUGUGGGUCAGGGUCAGCCCUGCGGAGCACCCUGCACCACCCCCUAUAGUGCCUCCAACCCCAACCCUGUGUGCUCUGCUUCCAGAUUCCUACUCGUCUUCAGCUGCCUGGUGCUCUCCGUUUUCUCCACCAUCCAGGAGCACCAGAAGUUGGCCAACCAGUGCCUCUUCAUCCUGGAAUUUGUCAUGAUCGUGGUGUUCGGAAUGGAGUACGUCAUCCGCGUCUGGGCGGCCGGCUGCUGCUGCCGCUACCGUGGCGGGGNNNNNNNNNNNNNNNNNNNNNNNNGUCGCCCGGAAGCCUUGCUGUGUGGUAGGUAGCGCCGGGGGGACGUGGGGAGAUGGGGGGACGUGGGGUUGGGGGCUGCCUCACCGGUGCUCCCCCUCACUGCCCCCCAUCCCCUUCCAGAUUUCAUCGUCUUCAUCGCCUCUGUGGCCGUCAUCGCGGCCGGCACGCAGGGCAACAUCUUCGCCACCUCUGCGCUGCGCAGCAUGCGCUUCCUGCAGAUCCUGCGCAUGGUGCGCAUGGACCGCCGCGGCGGCACCUGGAAGCUGCUGGGCUCCGUGGUUUACGCGCACAGCAAGGUGGGGGGCGGCCCUCCGUGAGCCCCCGCCCCGUGCCCACCCCC